rnacentral:lncRNA from 1 species
GAGCUGCACACAGGAUAUGGGACCUACAUUUGGAUCUUGUCCUCCAGACUGAAGACCAGAGGGCAACCAGUGCAAAUGUCCAGACUGAUGGUCAGAGGGAGCCCUGGACCAAACAUGCUGCAAACUCCCCCUCCUGGGGGUCUGAUUUUGAUUUUGUUUUCCCACCAGUCCCUGAAGUAGCUUAGCAGCCUUGCAGCUGCACUGUGGGUAAUAUGUGAGUCCAGACAAGCCGUGAACUCAUUCCCAGAUUCUCCUCUCAUUUCACGUAUAAAAGCUGGUGGUUAAACUAGAUUAUUGUUGUUUAAGAUGUGUCCAUCUCUCUGUCUUUACAGACCGCAUGGACUGUAGCCCACCAGGCUCCUCUGUCCAUGAGAAUAUUCAAGUAGGUUGCCAUUUCAAGAACUCUCCCCUAUAGAAUCCUCUCCCAGGGAUCUUCCUGGCCCAGGGAUCGAACUAGAUUACCUACUCCUUAUAUUCUGUGAUCCUCCAGCCUGUUACUUAUGUAAGUCAAGGUCAGUACUUCCUUCUGGUUUACAUCCCGUCUACCCUGCCCAGAAGGGCUGUCCCCACAGAGGUCACCCGCCAUCCCCAAAAGAGGACAUUUGUGUCCCUGUCUCGCUCACUCUCCUUUCUUCUCUGUCUUAUAUUUUUCUCUUUCUAUCUCUGCAUCUCUUUCUCUUUAUCACUCUCUGGAUCUUUAUUUUUCCUGUCUCUCUGUCUCUUCCCCUUUUUUGUUCUCUCUCUGCGUAUCUUUCUCUUUCCCUGUUUUCCCUCUCUGUAUCUCCAUGUUUCUCCUCUCUCUCUCUGUAUCUCCUCCCGUGUUCCUCUCUCUUCUUCCCGAUAUCUCUGUAUUUGUCUCCUGUGUUCUCUCUCUUCACUACCAGUUCCUAACCAUUAGCUACACUCAAGAUUCAUUAAACACCACAGGCAGUGGCGGGAGUGGUGGGGAGAGGAGAAACAAUAGCCUUCUGCAAAGUGGGACCCGUGAGGGACCACAUGUUUCCUUUGAAAGCUCUAUUUUAGCUCAACAGCAAUGAAAAGCAGAAAGACGAGUUCGGUACCCAUGACCACUUGACUCCCGAGCAUAUAAGGCUGCAGAAAACACCUCCAUCUAUUGUUGAUGGCUCGUGUCUGUCACCAAAGCUCAGAGUCUCUUCUCAGCAAGGCAACUUGCAGAAUCUUUUAUUUGCAGAGGGAAGUUAGGUGCCCUGCGGGGGCUCCUUAACCUUCGUGAACACAAAUGGAACAUUCCGAAUGUGCCUUUUCAAUUGCCCCAGCUCAACCUGCAGAAACAUGGCAGGUGUGUGGGAGGCAAGAAGCUGAACAGGCUGAGCCUUUCAGGCAGCAAUUCUUUCAGCAAGAAAGAAUAGCAGUCCUGGGCUGUAGGGGGAGAAUUCUUGAAACUUUUCCACUCUCUCUUGGGUAGAAAGGAACUGAUGAGAGAACUUCAGAGUUGCACGGAAGCAGUCCUUCAUGGAGGAUGAGGGUGAGGGAGAGUGGAAGAGGUUAAAAUAGCCCAUGAGAGAACACUGAAAUGCAAGCAAAAUAUUUUUCUAAUUUCUUUCCUUCCUAGGAAAAGCUCAGGUUUUACAACACACGAAAUCUGCUGGCCAUUUGUUCUAGAUGAGAAGAAGUGAAAAGCUUUGAAGUCUGCAGUCACGAACCCCACCCUCAGCUUGAAUUACUCAGGCAUAGCAAGAAUACGCCAGUGUUCUUGCCUGGAGAAUCCCAGGGACGGGGAGCCUGGUGAGCUGCNNNNNNNNNNNNNNNNNNNNNNNNNNNNNNNNNNNNNNNNNNNNNNNNNNNNNNNNNNNNNNNNNNNNNNNNNNNNNNNNNNNNNNNNNNNNNNNNNNNUUGCCUGGAGAAUCCCAGGGACGGGGGAGCCUGGUGGGCUUCCGUCUACGAGGUUGCACAGAGUUGGACCCGACUGAAGUGACUUAGCAGUAGCAGUAGCAUUGGGUCCUUAUCCCUAUCUAUUGAAAUUGCCUUUUACCUGAGGGCCUCUCCUUUGCUCCAAGAGGGCAGGGCUAUGUCUGCCUAUUCACACUGCAUCCCCAGAGCUUGGCCUGGGGUCAGGUACCUGGUUGGUGUUCGGUGAAAUCUGGGUAAUGAAUGAGGGUUCCCUUCUAUGUUUCAUUGUACUGGCCUCAGUUUGCUGGCACAUAGUAGGCUCUCAAUGCAAAUCUGUUGAAUAGAUAAUGGAUGACUGCAUGAAUAAACAAACAACAUGGUUCAACAUCCCCUGCCUCACAUCUCUCUCUCCCUCUCUCUCUCACACACACACACACACACACACACACACACACACACAC